CAGAUACUUCAGAGGUCUGGCUCCCCUGUCUUCAUCUUGCGAUAGUGAAGGCACAGUGUGCUCAUCAAACACACUCGAGAGCCCUUGUCUGAGAACACAGGCAUUUAUGGAGCAGUCUCUACCUUUUUGGAAAGGAGAAACUUGUUGGUCAUCAGCUCACUGUGUGUGAGCCACCUCCACUACUGUUCCUUUGGCCUUGGGUUCCAUGUGGCCUCUUCCUUAUGUAGUUGGAAGAAUCAGUACUGUGUAUCAAGCUCCGGGUUUUCUUGUGUGAGUUAGGCGUGUGAAACAUUUCUGUCUUAGUUUCCAGGAAGCAUGAAGAUCAAACUGUCACAGUCUUUCACAUAGCCAGCUCCCUGGACAAUCCCUAAGGGUCCUUGUACAAAUUAAUAUGCAGUAAUAGGACGAAAAGGCUAGGUUCAGAAGUUGGGAUUCUUUUGUGACUCCACAGUUGUGGGAGAAACUCAGAAAAGGUGUCCUUUGCCUCAUUAUUCUCUGCUUCCUUGUCAGAGUACCCUAACUGGUCAACAUAGCUCGUGUUCAUGGGUGACAUACAAUUCACAGGCUGAGGACUUUAUCCGCAUGGAUUGCAACCAAGGGAAAUCUCAACCAGCAGCUAAGAAGACUGCGAGACUAUGAAAAGCAAAAGCUUUGUUGAGUUACUGUUGUGGAAGUAGCCAACAACAUGGUGGUAUCUCAGGUUAUUCUAAGAGGGAUUGAACUCGAGUCCUUGCGCUUGCGAGGCUGUGCUGUGUGUGGUGUUCUUCACGUAGUCCUUUUAUGGUGCAUAUUGACCUGACAACUCCUAAGGACUGAAAGGCUGCGAAAAAGCUCUUCUUGGAAUGGCCUGUGCCAAGACAAAAGAAUGCCAAUACUUGAUAUUAAGUUACAUAUCCUUCAGUAACAUUGAAUCUUUUUUUUUGUACUGGGAUGGAACUCAGGAUCUUUCGCUCACUGAGCUAAAUCUCUGGCAGUAACAUUGAAUUUUGUUAGUUACUAAGUACACCUGAUAUUCCUCACAUUACAAUGUUUCUAUUAAGUACAAAGCAACAGUUUUUUUUUUUUAAAUCCCUGAAUAUCAUUGCGCUAGAAAUUUUUUAGAUAUAAGGGUAAAUACGAAUUUGGGUUCUUCUCAUUUUUCCUUCUUCUUUCCCCAGUAAGCUGUGCAAGGUUCUUGACCAACUGAAUGUGGUUGCCCAAAAUAUAGUGAAGAAAACAGGUGUCUCUGUAAACUUCCCUAAUUCUCACCGUAGCAUUGUACAGCCAGAUGAAAAGUAUGCAUGACAUUUAAAAAUUUAAAUCAAGAUUUUUCUUCUUACGGACAAAACUAUUCUAAUUAUGAACAGUUUGUGCCAGUUGGAAGAUGUAUGGAUUUAGUCCUUUGAGGACUGUGGCCCUGGGAGUAUUUCUGGUGGUUUUAUACAUUGAGAAAGAAGUGAAGGGGUCUUACCUCUUGCUUUUUAGAAUAAACAUUAUAUAAAGUAUCUCCAUGAAGUAAAAUCUUCAGGAUUUAAGGAAACCAGGCAUAAAUUCCUGAGUCUCUCUCCCAAGAAGUCACACCAACUCUCGUCCCCCACAGCAAAUUGUGACAGCAGGUGUACCGUGUUACCAGCCAGGGAAGCUUCUUAGAGACUCAGGGUAUUUUAUUAUUUAUUUAUUAUUAAUUAAUUUAUUUAUUUAUUGCUUUUUUUUUUUGAUAGG